UCCAUUUCCAAAAUUAUCUCAGACAUCCGUUAAUCAAGAAUCAACAAUUCUUAAAAUCGCUUAAUUUUAGGACAACUUAUCUUAACAUGAACCAAGAUAAGCAGCGUAUAAAAAUAAAUUUUCGUUAAACCUGUCGUUAGUAAUUGUUAUUGUACGUGUGAGUAAUUUUGUUUAAAUAAAAUGGCCCACCUUUCUGUCAUACCUGGAGGUCCGCGUCCUGGAUUAACCAUCAGAGUCAGAGGACAAGCUCAUCCUACCGGUGACAGAUUUAUUGUAGAUUUGCAGAAUGGUCCAGACCCCUCACCAAGAGAUAUUCCUUUUCACAUUUCAGUUAGG